rnacentral:lncRNA from 1 species
UCAGAGUUCCUUUCUUUACAAACUCUCUAAUGGCUUCUGCUAAUGCUUCAGCUUCAUCUUUCUCGCUUGCAGAAACGUUAUAAACUCUCUAAUCCAUACAAAGCGUAUCCAAAACAUAAUUAUGAAUAUAUAUUUCGACUGGUUAAAAAGAAAAAGAAAAAGAAUAAAAAUGAUAGUAAAUUUACAGACGCCUGUCACAGUAACACGCACCUCACGCGUGUCUGUCGAAUUCCCUCUCUCUAUAUCUCGAAUUCAAUAACC